rnacentral:rRNA from 1 species
GAGUUUGAUCCUGGCUCAGAUUGAACACUGGCGGCAGGCUUAACACAUGCAAGUCGAACGGUAACAUGAGUGCUUGCACUUGAUGACGAGUGGCGGACGGGUGAGUAAGGUAUGGGGAUCUGCCGAAUGGAGGGGGACAACAGUUGGAAACGACUGCUAAUACCGCAUAAUGUUGAGAAACCAAAGCAUGGGACUUUCGGGCCAUGCGCCAUUUGAUGAACCCAUAUGGGAUUAGCUAGUUGGUAGGGUAAAGGCUUACCAAGGCGACGAUCUCUAGCUGGUCUGAGAGGAUGACCAGCCACACUGGAACUGAGACACGGUCCAGACUCCUACGGGAGGCAGCAGUGGGGAAUAUUGCACAAUGGGGGAAACCCUGAUGCAGCCAUGCCGCGUGUAUGAAGAAGGCCUUCGGGUUGUAAAGUACUUUCGGUAAUGAGGAAGGUGAUGUAUCUAAUAGGUGCAUCAAUUGACGUUAAUUACAGAAGAAGCACCGGCUAACUCCGUGCCAGCAGCCGCGGUAAUACGGAGGGUGCGAGCGUUAAUCGGAAUGACUGGGCGUAAAGGGCAUGUAGGCGGAUAAUUAAGUUAGGUGUGAAAGCCCUGGGCUCAACCUAGGAAUUGCACUUAAAACUGGUUAACUAGAGUAUUGUAGAGGAAGGUAGAAUUCCACGUGUAGCGGUGAAAUGCGUAGAGAUGUGGAGGAAUACCGGUGGCGAAGGCGGCCUUCUGGACAGAUACUGACGCUGAGAUGCGAAAGCGUGGGGAGCAAACAGGAUUAGAUACCCUGGUAGUCCACGCUGUAAACGAUGUCGAUUUGGAGUUUGUUGCCUUGAGUGAUGGGCUCCGAAGCUAACGCGAUAAAUCGACCGCCUGGGGAGUACGGCCGCAAGGUUAAAACUCAAAUGAAUUGACGGGGGCCCGCACAAGCGGUGGAGCAUGUGGUUUAAUUCGAUGCAACGCGAAGAACCUUACCUGGUCUUGACAUCCACAGAAUCUUGCAGAGAUGCGAGAGUGCCUUCGGGAACUGUGAGACAGGUGCUGCAUGGCUGUCGUCAGCUCGUGUUGUGAAAUGUUGGGUUAAGUCCCGCAACGAGCGCAACCCUUAUCCUUUGUUGCCAGCGGUUUGGCCGGGAACACAAAGGAGACUGCCGUUGAUAAAGCGGAGGAAGGUGGGGACGACGUCAAGUCAUCAUGGCCCCUACGACCAGGGCUACACACGUGCUACAAUGGCGUAUACAAAGGGAGGCGA